GGAUGAUGUCAGCGGGAGGGAAGCCAAGGUUUUGGUCUCAAGUUAGCAUCUCGGUCUCUUCGCUGUGGCGUGCUGCGCGCCUGGAGGGACUCGGCGUGCUGUGGUCCAGAGGAAAUCAUAUCCACAGGUGAGGAUUAAAAAACAUGUUUGGGCAAGACCCUGAGCAGAAGAUGCACUAAGCUGUACCCAGAUUUUGGACACUGUGAGUAUUUCACUAUCGGAUUGCAGAACCUCAAGAGAAGCAAUGGGAAAGGCCAUCUUCAGACAAGAAUCUUCCCUGCCCUCAACUCCUUAGACCCUUGGCUGACAGUUUUACUUUGAAGAAUAACCCAAGACCACACUCCAUUUCAAGGAGACGAAGGCCAAGGUGGAGAACUGUGAGGCCGUGUCCCUCCAAGGAACAGGGGCAGGAGGCACCUCCUCUUGGGCCGGUCCAGCCUCAGGGUGUUACACUGCUCAGGAAAGCUGUAUAAGUAUGACUUAGAUGAGUACCACACAUCAUUCAUGUGCACUGAGGAGGGGAAGGGCGUGACAGCUUUCAUUAGAUGGUGUUUACAUCUGUGAAUCCAUUUUUCUGCAGCUCAGUAUCACAGAUACUUGGACAGCUAAGCCUUACUGAGACAGACCAACAUUGUGACAAAGGGGGAACCUGCUGUACCUAGUUAGUACACAGAAGCAGCACUCUUCAUGCUAAUGAAGUGGUACCAAAAAUGUUUUUAAAAAACGAGAUCUCAUAUAAGAGGAUUACUUCUCACGACCCUGGGGCCACCCAUCAGCUUCCCCAGAGACCUCCCCUCCAGCCUGGCUGGAGCAGAGAGGCUCAGCUCUGCCAGGGGCCUCACCUUGUGAGUCAUCAGUAACUUAAAGACAUUCGAGAGAAGGCUGGAAACUUGGAGCUGGAAAAGAUAAUAAAAUUGACUGCAGAGAGUGCCAACCCACCCUCCCACACCUCCCCAACUACUUCUCUCCCAGGCCCCUGUCCCGUCCUCCCCCAACACCUCGUCCCUCCCAUCACACACAAACACAUACCAGUGAGUACAAAGAGACUCUAAUUCCAGAAGGACUGCACAUGCACGAGCCCAGCUCCCAUCUCGAGUAUGAGGAGCCUGAGUUCAAAGGCUCCUUCCAGGAAGAGGCCUGGAGGCCCGGCUCACCCAGUGUGUGUCCACCAGCACACACACACCACAUCUGAAUAAGGAGAUCAGCAGUGCCUGGGUGCCAGCUGCUGCUUGUUCUGAGCUCUGACUCAAUCCUGCUAAUGUAGCCAUGAACUUGAGGAAACGCUCAGUUUUGCUAGAACUGAGUGUAAAAUACAAAUUGAACUCAAGUCUAAAUAAAGGUGGUGAACAUUAGGUAUGUCUUUUGGCCACUCAGAGAGCGUCAUCCCUCCCUCAAGCUCAGCUGAGCUUGAGAUACAGAAGAAGCGGCAUAACAGCUACACCCCAGACAAGCCGGGGUGCAACACUAUGUAUGUCACGCCCCAGAAGGCACCCUAGGAACCUGGUCAAGGAACCACUCUUGAAAGUCAGAGAUUCCAGUGGGCCUCCUCACAUCUGGGAGAUGUGGGCAGGUGUUCUUUAUCUGUCUUAGAACUCAAACCCCCUCUAGACUUCUCCCCAUUAAAAGAUCUCCCUUCACUUUGGGGUUUGUUCUCGCCAAGGGCAAGGGCAGUACUCAGGCCCCUGCCCCUCUGUGGCCUGCUCACCUUU